AUUUCUUUCGCAGGUUCUCAGUGACUACGACUUGAGUGUCCUUCGUGUCUGUUACCCUCAGAUUCUGCCUCCUGAAAUUUGCAACAUUUUAUGGGAUAAAAUUCUUCGUGCCUGUUACCAUACACUACUUGACGGAUUUUCCGCUGUAAGAAAAUGCACGAACGAAGGUCGUGCACUAAUGCAGUUAGACUUCAGGCAUUUUCAAGUCAAAGUGGAAAGCUUGACACGUCUAAGACCUCUUCCUGACCCACAUAUUGUCGAAACAUACAUAAAGGCAUAUUAUUUACCUGAAAAUUCUUUGGAAAAAUGGAUUCAAGAACAAACGGAAUAUACUCCUAGGCAGAUGAUGAAUCUUCUUCAAUGCGUAAGUCAAGGCAGUAAAAAGAUUCGGCUGAACUUAACUUACUUCAUGGAAGAUUUAGAUUUGAAUCGUCGAUAAAGCUCUUUGUUAUGAUUCAAGUGAUGAAAUUUUUGUUAAUUGAGAAAUAUACAUGACAUUCCAUUA